rnacentral:rRNA from 1 species
AGUGGCGAACGGGUGAGUAACACGUGGGUGAUCUGCCCUGCACUUCGGGAUAAGCUUGGGAAACUGGGUCUAAUACCGGAUAGGACCAUGGGAUGCAUGUCUUGUGGUGGAAAGCUUUUGCGGUGUGGGAUGGGCCCGCGGCCAUCAGCUUGUUGGUGGGGUGAUGGCCUACCAAGGCGACGACGGGUAGCCGGCCUGAGAGGGUGUCCGGCCACACUGGGACUGAGAUACGGCCCAGACUCCUACGGGAGGCAGCAGUGGGGAAUAUUGCACAAUGGGCGCAAGCCUGAUGCAGCGACGCCGCGUGGGGGAUGACGGCCUUCGGGUUGUAAACCUCUUUCACCAUCGAUGAAGGCCCGCUUUUGGUGGGUUGACGGUAGGUGGAGAAGAAGCACCGGCCAACUACGUGCCAGCAGCCGCGGUAAUACGUAGGGUGCGAGCGUUGUCCGGAAUUACUGGGCGUAAAGAGCUCGUAGGUGGUUUGUCGCGUUGUUCGUGAAAUUCCCUGGCUUAACUGGGGGCGUGCGGGCGA